rnacentral:rRNA from 1 species
AGUGAACGCUGGCGGUAGGCCUAACACAUGCAAGUCGAACGGCAGCACAGUAAGAGCUUGCUCUUACGGGUGGCGAGUGGCGGACGGGUGAGGAAUACAUCGGAAUCUACUUUUUCUUGGGGGAUAACGUAGGGAAACUUACGCUAAUACCGCAUACAACCUACGGGUUAAAGCAGGGGAUCUUCGGACCUUGCGCGAUUGAUUGAGCCGAUGUCGGAUUAGCUAGUUGGCGGGGUAAAGGCCCACCAAGGCGACGAUCCGUAGCUGGUCUGAGAGGAUGAUCAGCCACACUGGAACUGAGACACGGUCCAGACUCCUACGGGAGGCAGCAGUGGGGAAUAUUGGACAAUGGGCGAAAGCCUGAUCCAGCCAUACCGCGUGGGUGAAGAAGGCCUUCGGGUUGUAAAGCCCUUUUGUUGGGAAAGAAAAGCAGCAGGUUAAUACCCCGCUGUUCUGACGGUACCCAAAGAAUAAGCACCGGCUAACUUCGUG